UGGUAGUCCACGCCGUAAACGAUGUCGAUUUGGAGGUUGUGCCCUUGAGGCGUGGCUUCCGGAGCUAACGCGUUAAAUCGACCGCCUGGGGAGUACGGCCGCAAGGUUAAAACUCAAAUGAAUUGACGGGGGCCCGCACAAGCGGUGGAGCAUGUGGUUUAAUUCGAUGCAACGCGAAGAACCUUACCUGGUCUUGACAUCCACAGAACUUUCCAGAGAUGGAUUGGUGCCUUCGGGAACUGUGAGACAGGUGCUGCAUGGCUGUCGUCAGCUCGUGUUGUGAAAUGUUGGGUUAAGUCCCGCAACGAGCGCAACCCUUAUCCUUUGUUGCCAGCGGUCCGGCCGGGAACUCAAAGGAGACUGCCAGUGAUAAACUGGAGGAAGGUGGGGAUGACGUCAAGUCAUCAUGGCCCUUACGACCAGGGCUACACACGUGCUACAAUGGCAUAUACAAAGAGAAGCGACCUCGCGAGAGCAAGCGGACCUCAUAAAGUAUGUCGUAGUCCGGAUUGGAGUCUGCAACUCGACUCCAUGAAGUCGGAAUCGCUAGUAAUCGUAGAUCAGAAUGCUACGGUGAAUACGUUCCCGGGCCUUGUACACACCGCCCGUCACACCAUGGGAGUGGGUUGCAAAAGAAGUAGGUAGCUUAACCUUCGGGAGGGCGCUUACCACUUUGUGAUUCAUGACUGGGGUGAAGUCGUAACAAGGUAACCGUAGGGGAACCUGCGGUUG
rnacentral:rRNA from 1 species